AAGGCCACUUCCACCCUCUGCACCCACCACAUUUCCAGUGGUCCACGUGGCCAGAAAUUGCUCCUGCCAUUAUGCUGAAUUUGCCCACCCUAUAUUUCAAUCAAGAUGCUAGCCAUCAGCCCUGAUAUCUUCAGGGCGAUGGAAAACAUACUUCACAGCAGCGACCUGAGGGCUGGUGCUCUGUCACUGGGCAGAUGCUUUUUUAGGUGGCAGAUUCUGGGUGUCCUGAAAGGGCGCCAAAUCGUUACUUCUUUUAUUAUGGAUGUGUGCGUUUACUGCUACAGACGUGGAAAGGGGCUUGAGGGCAUUUUUUGCCUCCUGUGUCCAAGUUAGGCCAGUUCCUCAGCGGCCGUUUCCUACCCCACCUGAGGCAGCAGAACGGCUUGGGCGGCCCCCAAGCAGCUGAGAAGUCACCUCGGGACUUUCGGCGCUUCUUUCUGCCCAAAACUUGGUGCCCUCGACAUCUCGGGCGCGCGCGCGCGUGUCAAAGACCGCCGGCGAGCCUCUCCACAGACCCCGGCUGGGGAGGGGGCAAGCGGGGGAGAUGGGUUCCCCCCCCCAAGAACGUCUACUCUUCAGUUCUCGGCUCUUCGGAACGGAGGCCGGCGAGCGGCCUCUUACCUGGAAAGCUGCUCUCGGGCCGUCAGGAGCCCGGCGGCGGCGAGAUGCGGUGGCGCACAGCGCCCCCUACUUACCGCCGCGUCCGGGAGAGCGCGGUCCGUGGGAAGGAGCGCCCGGAGAACGAGCCCUCAGUGAGGGAAAGCGAGCGAGCGAGCGUGUGGCACAAAGUCCGGGCUGGAUUUGCGCGCCGCGGCCAGGUCGCGAGAGGGGCUGCGAGCCGCUUUCGCUGGCCCGUUAUUUAAGGCGCCUCGGCGCGUCUCGGCGGUGGAGAGGCGAGCGUGGAUGCUGGACAGGAGAAAACCAUCCGCCUUCUGAACCAGAGUCCUGGUAAGACAGGCAGGCGGGAGGCAUUUUUCCAAAGAGGAAUCAUCGCAGUAAAAAUAAUGUUAGUGUAUUAGUACUAACUAUAAUUUUAUUACUAAAGAGUAGUAGUACUAAUGGCAAUAAUAGCAGCAGCAAGAAGAGCAAUUCUAGACAUAGAGUCUCCCUGUGCACGUUUACUCGGGAGUAAGUUCCCGUGGAAAUCAACGGUCUUCUCCCCAUCCCCGAGUCCACGUGCAUAGGAUCGGCGGGAGCGCCAGGUAGGUAGGUACGCCUAAUGGGUGGAGGAAGCGCCCAGGAUCGGUUUGCACGUGGUGGCGGAGGCAAGCUGAAGUUCAGAGCCCCCAUGCCUAGGAUCGGGGCGGUCCCGGGGCUUCCGCGGAUUUUCCAGGCUGAUCAGAAAACGAAAGAAGCGGAGCUCCCCGGUCCCAGAUGGAGGCGCUGAUUUUUGCUUUCGGGGAGUUCAGCCUCGCUGACGGACUUCUCUGGAGAUGAAGUCCACGAAUGUCGAUCGGGGCCGCCGGGGCAGCCCGAUCCGAUGCAGGUUUACUGGGCAGUAAGGGAGGAAAUGGAAUUCGCCCUGGGUUGGGUGGGGGGCUGAGCCCAAGAUUGCGCCUCCUAGAAGUGAUGUCGCCCUAUUGUCCCAGGGGGCUUACUCCGAGGUCGGCGGGUGCGGGACAGCAUCCUUUCCGCGGCUGAUCAUUCGGUGCGUUUGUGUGUCCGCGCGUGCGAAGUCCGAUGCAGGUUUACUGGGCAGUAAGGGAGGAAAUGGAAUUCGCCCUGGGUUGGGUGGGGGGCUGAGCCCAAGAUUGCGCCUCCUAGAAGUGAUGUCGCCCUAUUGUCCCAGGGGGCUUACUCCGAGGUCGGCGGGUGCGGGACAGCAUCCUUUCCGCGGCUGAUCAUUCGGUGCGUUUGUGUGUCCGCGCGUGCGAAGUCCGCUGUU
ensembl:lncRNA